rnacentral:rRNA from 1 species
GACGAACGCUGGCGGCGUGCUUAACACAUGCAAGUCGAACGGAAAGGCCUUUUCGGAGGUACUCGAGUGGCGAACGGGUGAGUAACACGUGGGUGAUCUGCCCUGCACUCUGGGAUAAGCCUGGGAAACUGGGUCUAAUACCGGAUAGGACCGCACUUUAGUGCGUGUGGUGGAAAGUUUUUUCGGUGUAGGAUGAGCCCGCGGCCUAUCAGCUUGUUGGUGGGGUAAUGGCCUACCAAGGCGGCGACGGGUAGCCGGACUGAGAGGUUGGUCGGCCACAUUGGGACUGAGAUACGGCCCAGACUCCUACGGGAGGCAGCAGUGGGGAAUAUUGCACAAUGGGCGCAAGCCUGAUGCAGCGACGCCGCGUGGGGGAUGACGGCCUUCGGGUUGUAAACUCCUUUCGCCAGGGACGAAGCGUUUUGUGACGGUACCUGGAGAAGAAGCACCGGCUAACUACGUG